rnacentral:lncRNA from 1 species
AGCGGGGCCUUGGCCCGCGCCCGCCGUGGGGGCGAGCGACCGGCUACCCCGCUGGCUGCUCUGGCGUCCCCGGCGCCGCGGUGGGGCAGUGGCAGCCUUGCGCCCCUGGCAAGGCCCGGGUUGGGCUUAACCCCGGUGGGUGCGAACCCGCCUGGCGCGAAGGCGAGAUGUGGCCGCAGAGCCUGGCCGCGCUCUGCCACUGUAGGCCGCCACAGACUCUGCCCAGACUGAAAUGAGCACUUGAGUUUCACACUUUUAUCGGGAGGAGGAGCUGGCGUGUGUUAUGAAACUAAACACCUGAGACGGUGAAAGAUUAAGUGAUUUGCCUGCGAUAGCAUUAAAGUUCUUACCCAUAUGAUCAUCUUUGGGAUCAAUGCGACCGUGACGUUGAUUUCACCGAGCACUUUAGGAGACUGCUCAGGAAAAGCUACCAAUGAACAAAAUGGAAUUUGAAGCUGAAACACCUGGAAGACUUGGUAUGGACUUGGCCCUGGUCUUGAAGAAGGAACCCAGACACAGCACAGGUGUGGGGGAAUGUGAAGACAGUGGGCCUCAAGGGCUGGCCCCAGAUGACGAGUCUCUGAUGCCGGAAGUCCUAGCAAGUGCAUUUCCUGCAGGACUGAUACUGAGCUUAUCUGUUUUCAUGGUGACCAGGCGUAGUCGAUUCUGCAGACUUAAAGCCAGUCUUCCCACCGUCUCUGACCAGGACCAUCACGACUUAUCUCCCUGCCCAGGGCUGGCCUCCCUGAUCCACCCCUCUUGCCAGCUCCACUUGAACACCUUCAAUGACUUUGUGGUGUCUUGGACACAUCCGGCUGCCUUAGCAGGCACAUGGGACCUCCCGUGGCCUCAGACAUCCCCACUGGUGGCCAGGCCCAUCAUAGUUGGGCUGGACACAGGGGCCUCCCCUCCAUGCUCUGCACACAUCAGAGCCCCCCAGGGCCCCUCAGGGCUCUUGCACUUCUGGCUGGACCACCCUGGCCCCCUCACUGUCAAACUCCUCAUCCCGCCUUUAAACUCACAGCAAAUGUCACUGCAUUUGUGGAGACCCUCCCACACCCUCCCUAGGGGCCCACAGCUCCCUGCCCACACCCCACAACUUCCCCUCAGGUAUAGAAGGCCCAGUGACCAUGAUCUCAACCCUGUGGGAGCCUCAGCACCCGCAUGGGCCGGGUUCACGCUGGGUGACCAAAUGCCGUGUGGUACACAAUUCAUAAAAUGAGAGAAGAAAUGCUUUGGGGGCCUCUGAGCCCAGAGGCUGAGGAACCACAUGAGAAGUGAGUGGCACUCUGCAGACGUGGCCCCUCCUUCCCUGUUUAUGCUUCAAGAUGGCCGAGAACCAGAGCAAGACCAGAAGCUGCAGGAUGAAAUGAUGCUCUGGACCAGACUGGUGGUUUUGACCAGAGGCUGCAAAUGAGGCCUGCGUUUGGCUUGAUGUGCUCAGCUCACUAAAAUGCAAGGCCUCCCGGAGAGGAAGACCUUGCCACCAUUUGUAGGGCUGACUGGCUCCUCUACGGAGAAGGCAUCAACAAAGCUGGAACAGAACAGAGAAUUCACCUUAGGAUGUGGAGCCUAGAAGUGGGGGUGACCCGCUGGACACAACAUCAGGUGCAGCACUCCUGGAUAGUGAAGCCAUGUGGAGCCACUGCCCAGGAUCAGGAAAGGCCCAGCACAUGCUGCUGACCUCUUCAUUGUAUGCACGCCAGGACUCAGCAGGAUGGCCUGAGACAACCCUAAGCAGGACAGAACACACUGCAAUCAAAUCAGCCUCUAAGUUGGCCCCAAACAUCAAAUGGGCCUGGGCAUGAUGGCGUAUUUUCAGGCACAUAUAAACUUGGCCUGUAUUCCUCAGGGCGUGAGUCUGGCACCUCUCUGGAUCAGUAAAUAGGCUUUUUGAAAAGCCCAAACAAACCAUAAGGAAAUCCUGCAUUCUGAAACAAAAGGUAUAAAAGCUAAGUAAAGACACACACUGCCAUUGUCUGCUUUGCCAGGAUGUGAGCUGUUGCCUUGGGAGAAAGAUAACAUGAAAGAGGCCAUAAUUGCAGGGCCAAGACUGCAGGCCCCACAAAAACAGGACGAAACAUAGCAAAAGCGGGGAAAAAAAAAAAAAAAAAAAAAAAGAGAGCUCCAUGUGCUCUCAGCUGAGCCAGGAGAGAAAAAAAAAAA